GGUUAAGGCGACAGACUAGAAAUUCUGUUGGGCUCUGCCCGCACAGGUUCGAAUCCUGUCGGCGACG
rnacentral:tRNA from 1 species